UACGUAGGGUCCGAGCGUUGUCCGGAAUUACUGGGCGUAAAGAGCUCGUAGGUGGUUUGUCGCGUUGUUCGUGAAAACUCACAGCUCAACUGUGGGCGUGCGGGCGAUACGGGCAGACUGGAGUACUGCAGGGGAGACUGGAAUUCCUGGUGUAGCGGUGGAAUGCGCAGAUAUCAGGAGGAACACCGGUGGCGAAGGCGGGUCUCUGGGCAGUAACUGACGCUGAGGAGCGAAAGCAUGGGUAGCGAACAGG
rnacentral:rRNA from 1 species